rnacentral:rRNA from 1 species
GACGAACGCUGGCGGCGUGCUUAACACAUGCAAGUCGAACGGAAAGGCCUGCUUUCCCUUGUGGAUUGCGGGUACUCGAGUGGCGAACGGGUGAGUAACACGUGAGUGAUCUGCCCCCAACUUGGGUAUAAGCCUGGGAAACUGGGUCUAAUUCCCGAUAGGACUGCAGGGUGGUGCCUGUGGUGGAAAACGAUUUCUAGUGGUUGGGGAUGAGCUCGCGGCCUAUCAGCUUGUUGGUGGGGUAAUGGCCUACCAAGGCGGCGACGGGUAGCCGGCCUGAGAGGGUGGACGGCCACAGUGGGACGGAGAGACGGCCAAGACUCCUACGGGAGGAAGCAGUGGGGAAUAUUGCACAAGGGGCGGAAGCCUGAUGCAGCGACGCCGCGUGGGGGAUGACGGGCUUCGGGUUGUAAACUCCUUUCGACCGCGAGGAAGCAACCUGGUUGGAAGGGUGGUGACGGUAGUGGUAGAAGAAGCACCGGCUAACUACGUG